rnacentral:rRNA from 1 species
UACGAGGGGGCUAGCGUUGCUCGGAAUCACUGGGCGUAAAGGGUGCGUAGGCGGGUCUUUAAGUCAGGGUGAAAUCCUGGAGCUCAACUCCAGAACUGCCUUUGAUACUGAGGAUCUUGAGUUCGGAGAGGUGAGUGGAACUGCGAGUGUAGAGGUGAAAUUCGUAGAUAUUCGCAAGAACACCAGUGGCGAAGGCGGCUCACUGGCCCGAUACUGACGCUGAGGCACGAAAGCGUGGGAGCAAACAGG